rnacentral:rRNA from 1 species
CAAGUCGAGCGGUAACACUUCGGGUGACGAGCGGCGGACGGCUGAGUAACGCGUAGGAACGUACCCUAUAGUGAGGGAUAAGCCCGGGGAAACCGGGUCUAAUACCGCAUAAUCUCUUCGGAGGAAAGCAGCAAUGCGCUAAAGGAGCGGCCUGCGUAUGAUUAGCUUGUUGGUGAGGUAAAAGCUCACCAAGGCGAUGAUCAUUAGCUGGUCUGAGAGGAUGAUCAGCCAGACUGGGACUGAGACACGGCCCAGACCCCUACGGGGGGCAGCAAUUAGGAAUCUUUCGCAAUGGGGGAAACCCUGACGGAGCGACGCCGCGUGCAGGAGGAAUGCCUUCGGGUUGUAAACUGCUUUUAUCUGUGACGAUUAUGACGGUAGCAGAAGAAUAAGGACCUGCUAACUACGUGCCAGCAGCCGCGGUCAUACGUAGGGUCCAAGCGUUAUCCGGAAUUACUGGGCGUAAAGAGUUGCGUAGGUGGCAUAGUAAGCAGAUAGUGAAAUUGUGCGGCUCAACCGCAUACCCGCUAUCUGAACUGCUAAGCUUGAGCACGAGAGAGGUAACUGGAAUUCCCGGUGUAGGAGUGAAAUCCGUAGAUAUCGGGAGGAACACCGAUGGCGUAGGCAGGUUACUGGCUCGUUGCUGACACUAAGGCACGAAAGCGUGGGGAGCGAACGGGAUUAGAUACCCCGGUAGUCCACGCCGUAAACGAUGGAUGCUAGCUGUUAUCAGUAUCGACCCUGGUAGUAGCGAAGCUAACGCGUUAAGCAUCCCGCCUGUGGAGUACGGCCGCAAGGCUAAAACAUAAAGGAAUUGACGGGGACCCGCACAAGCGGUGGAGCGUGUUGUUUAAUUC